UACGUAGGUGACCAGCGUUGUCCGGAUUUACUGGGCGUAAAGAGCGCGCAGGCGGUCGUUCAAGUCGAGUGUGAAAGCCCCCGGCUCAACUGGGGAGGGUCACUCGAUACUGAUCACUUGAAGGCAGGAGAGGGAAGCGGAAUUCCCGGUGUAGCGGUGAAAUGCGCAGAUAUCAGGAGGAACACCGAUGCGAAGGCAGGUCUCUGGGCCGAUACUGACGUGAGGAAGCGAAAGCGUGGGGAGCGAACAGG
rnacentral:rRNA from 1 species